UAGCCGAGAUGCGCUGUUAGAGCUCAGCCGAUGUGCUAGAUGGUUGGCACUGAGGGACACUCCAAAGCUGCCUCGCUCUCUCCCAUGUGAGGUAGGGGCGCAGGUGAUGAGCAACAUUGACGCUUCCAUAGUCAUGACUGCAGAAGUGGACGCCCUCCGACCCCGCCCAGUCUCCCCCUGUCCCAGCCCCUACCACCUCCAUCAACUGCAUGUCCACUGCCUCCGCAACUUCGGCCUCACCUCCGAUAACGAUGAGCCCUCUACCUCCAGCCCUCCACAGCCACCACUCCGCCCGACGACACCGAGUGCCUCAGCGGCUUGCAUCACGGUGCCUUCAAUUCUCCUACGCACCCCAACCUCGCCCUUGUGGAGCUCGGCCGGAUCCGCCUCCAACUGCAGCGCGUGUUCCUAUGGAAGGUCGCCGGUUCGAACCACCAGGCACUCGUGCUGGCGAUCGAUGUCUUCGAGUGAGGUUUUUUGGGCAAAUUUUCUCCUGUUUUUGGAUGAUUUUUGAGAUUUUUUCGGUGGGUUUUUGGACUAUCUUGGCUUGGUUCCUUCCCUGCGGUGGUGAUUCAUUGGUGUCGCGAGGAUUUGUUUUUUUUUGGGUGAUUCUGUGCAAGUUACAAGUACGGACUGCGGAGCGCGUGGUGUUCUAUGUUUUUUGCCACGAUUUUUAUGUUGUUCCUAGAUCUUAGUCUUAGCUCCCUUUGUAGAAUUCUAUGCCGAAUCCAUGAUCUUCUGGUAUGUAUUUCCAAGUGGAUGAGUUCCCCUAACUAGAUUUGCCUCAGUGUCUACGGAUUUGUUGCAUAAGUUGUCUCUAGAUCCCGAAGAGUGAAGGCGGCCAGGCCCUGGAGGCGAAGUAGAAGAUGUCGAGGGCGCCGAAUGGUGUGGUAGCAUCUCCAAACCCUCCAGGGAUGUCAAUGGAGCAAUGGGCGCUGCAAGAUUACAAGGACUCCGCCAUGUACUACGGUGCCUGCCCUGGAGCUUACUACUGUGGAGGAUGGGGUGAUUAUUCCAUCUACGUGAGCCAGGAUGGAGCGGAUGCACUUACAUCUGUGAAUAUUUGUUCCCUACUAAGCAAUUCACAAAGCUUGCGAACACUUGGGCCUUGGUUCGAUCUUAUGGCCGACCCCUUAAAGUUAGACAGAAAAUGCAAAUGCUUCGAUGAUUUGAAUCAUGGCAAAGUGUAUUUGGAUGAA